rnacentral:rRNA from 1 species
CUGGCAUCGAUGAAGAACGCAGCGAAAUGCGAUAAGUAGUGUGAAUUGCAGAAUUCAGUGAAUCAUCGAAUCUUUGAACGCACAUUGCGCCCUUUGGUAUUCCAAAGGGCAUGCCUGUUCGAGCGUCAUUUGUACCCUCAAGCUUUGCUUGGUGUU